CUAUUUUAGCUGUAAUCAAGCGGAAAUUAUAGUCAGCUCAGUAGUUACAAAGACUCAGCUGCAAGAACCCCAUUUCCCUUAAGCCUCUGAGGAAUCAUCUCGGGGGCACAAUGACAAGCUUUCCUUUUUCUGUUUUCUUUUCCUUGUCCCCCUGUGGCUUAUUUGAACUGGAAAUAAUCUUGAAAAAUAUCACGUCCUCUGUUCUGGAAUUGCUGGUGUCUGAUGGAACAUAUACCGCCACAUGAAUGCUUUUUGUCUUACAGGACUGUGAAGACAGGCACCCCACGACACCUACGGGAAACAUGGCUGAGGCCCGCUGGACACAGGAUCAGCAUCGCUCCUGGUGAUUUAGCUCACGCUAAACUGGCUGUGGCAGCUUGAUGGCCCACAGGUCAAAUCUGACCAAUAAAAAGUACUUUUCCAUCUGAA